GAUCAUAGGAUGCUGCAGACCAUCUUUAAAGAGUGCUUAGGUCCUGCAGCUGGGUCCCUCAAGGAUCCUAUAAAAGCCAUUUUAGAACUUAUUCAAACUUCCGAUGCUGAGGGGAUGAAAAUAGCCCUUCUGCCCAUUCUCAAAGAAUUUCCUGAACUAAGGCAGGAACAUCUGAGUUCUGUGCUGGACAUCAAAGACUCGCUCAGCCGAGAAGAUAGAGCUGCUCUCUUGAAGGCAUUUCACGAUAAUUGCAGGGAAUCAGAAACAGAAGCAAACUUGCUUUUUGCAGAUAUAGAAGUAAAACCUAGAAAAUGUGGACUCUGUGGCUGCCUCUGCUGUUAGCAAAGGCCUGCUGUGAGAAACAUGAGGUCUCGCUCCCACGUGGCAGCAUCUGCAAUCACAGCUCCUUGAAAGCUUCAGGGAUCCGUGCAGCCGGAUGCAUGGAGAAGCCUGACAGCUAUGGAAGACACAAUUCCUGCACUUUUGCAGGAUAAACACGUGGCCCAAAUCCUAAUCUUCUAUGCAAAGUCCAGUCGGAAGAUGAAUGAGAUAUGGCAGAAAGACAUUCCUUCAGAAUUUCCUAGA